GACGAACGCUGGCGGCGUGCUUAACACAUGCCAGUCGAACGGAAAGGCCCUGCUUUUGUGGUGUGCUCGAGUGGCGAACGGGUGAGUAACACCUGAGUAACCUGCCCUUGACUUUGGGAUAACUUCAGGAAACUGGGGCUAAUACCGGAUAGGAGCUCCUGCUGCAUGGUGGGGGUUGGAAAGUUUCGGCGGUUGGGGAUGGACUCGCGGCUUAUCAGCUUGUUGGUGGGGUAGUGGCUUACCAAGGCUUUGACGGGUAGCCGGCCUGAGAGGGUGACCGGCCACAUUGGGACUGAGAUACGGCCCAGACUCCUACGGGAGGCAGCAGUGGGGAAUAUUGCACAAUGGGCGGAAGCCUGAUGCAGCAACGCCGCGUGCGGGAUGACGGCCUUCGGGUUGUAAACCGCUUUCGCCUGUGACGAAGCGUGAGUGACGGUAAUGGGUAAAGAAGCACCGGCUAACUACGUG
rnacentral:rRNA from 1 species